ACGAGAAGGAAAGGGAUCCCACUUACAGGGUGGUUAGUAGCUUUGGGGACUCUCUGGGAUCCCCUGUCUUAAUGAGAAGGCCAAAGGUGCAGGGUCAGGCCAAAGGACCGAGUUAAAUGAAGCUCUGAGCGCAGCCUCGAUCCCCGCGGCCCGGGMGGCAGAGGUGCCCAGGAGGACUAGCCGCGGGGCCGGGCGGGAAGCAGAAAAAUAUUUAUGGCCGCCCGGGCCAGGAGAGUGGGGAGAACUGCAGAGCGAAGGAAGCCGGGGUUUCUGCAGGCCCAGGGAAAGUUCCCUUCCUAGAGUCUUUUUWAAAAGAAGACGAAGGGAAGAGUUGAAGCGCCUUGAAUUUUCCUUCGGGAGCGUGGAGCCAAGCGGAUUUCCGCAAAGGAAGCGAAGACCACAGUCCAGGGUCCUGCAGUGUCCACCUCAUUCUCUCCAGGCCUCUCCACUUGCGCAGCUCUCAGCCACCCGGAGAUGACCGAAGGGGCUUCUGGGCUGCGUUGGGAGCUGACACUGCCCCCCGCCCAUUCCAGCUUGGCUUCCCAAAGUCCAGCGACCUCCAACCCUCCUUGGGGGAAAAAUUACCAGCACCCAGGCACAUUAGCCCCCUGUCCUGCGUGACCUGGUUUCCUUCAGAAAUAUUUUACCACGAAGAAGAAAGAACAGCUUGGAGCCCUGUUUACAUCUAGUUCUACUGAUCCAUUCACAUCUGGAGGGUUUAUUUAUAACACCCUCUAUAACUCUCUCUGUUUGGAAGCAGUGGUGGCUCUAUUGACAGACUGAUGUCUACAAAAUAUUGCUCUAUCUCUAACCAUACCUAAAUGUGCUGUGGUUGUAUUUACAGAUUUAUGCUUGAGGGAAAUAUAAUUAUUUCCAUUGUAUUUGUGCAUAUACAAUAGUUAUAGGAGCAGAUUUAUAUAUGGGAAAAUAUACGACUCUCUUAUAGCCAUACAGCUUUAUGGACAUUUGAUAUUCUGACAGAUUUAUAUCCCUGAGCAGCUAUAUAGAUAAAUGUAUAUCGUUAGAAUUA